rnacentral:rRNA from 1 species
AUUGAACGCUGGCGGCAUGCCUUACACAUGCAAGUCGAACGGCAGCACGGGAGCAAUCCUGGUGGCGAGUGGCGAACGGGUGAGUAAAGUAUCGGAACGUGCCCAGUCGUGGGGGAUAACGUAGCGAAAGUUACGCUAAUACCGCAUACGAUCUAUGGAUGAAAGCGGGGGAUCGCAAGACCUCGCGCGAUUGGAGCGGCCGAUAUCCGAUUAGGUAGUUGGUGGGGUAAAGGCUCACCAAGCCGACGAUCUGUAGCUGGUCUGAGAGGACGACCAGCCACACUGGGACUGAGACACGGCCCAGACUCCUACGGGAGGCGGCAGUGGGGAAUUUUGGACAAUGGGCGAAAGCCUGAUCCAGCCAUGCCGCGUGCAGGAUGAAGGCCUUCGGGUUGUAAACUGCUUUUGUACGGAACGAAAAGGUUUGGGCUAAUAAGCUGAGCUCAUGACGGUACCGUAAGAAUAAGCACCGGCUAACUCUGUGCCAGCCGCCGCCGUAA